rnacentral:rRNA from 1 species
UACGAAGGGGGCUAGCGUUGCUCGGAAUCACUGGGCGUAAAGCGCACGUAGGCGGACUCUUAAGUCAGGGGUGAAAUCCUGGAGCUCAACUCCAGAACUGCCUUUGAUACUGAGAGCCUUGAGUCCGGAAGAGGUAAGUGGAACUGCGAGUGUAGAGGUGAAAUUCGUAGAUAUUCGCAAGAACACCAGUGGCGAAGGCGGCUUACUGGACACAUAUUGACGCUGAGGUGCGAAAGCGUGGGGAGCAAACAGG